AGGAUUACAGGCGUGAGCCACCGUGCCCGGCCCCGUCUUAAACUCUUAAAAAAAAAUUUAUCGCUCUACCAGGCAGCCUGACCCUGACCUAAAGUAAAUUCCCAGAAAUUUUUCCUGGGUUUUGAAUUUGCAAUAACAGGUGUGAGCAGUUUAGCAGCAGUUUGAUGAUCACGUAUGAUACUGCAAACAGGA